rnacentral:rRNA from 1 species
UACGUAGGUGGCAAGCGUUGUCCGGAUUUACUGGGCGUAAAGAGCGCGCAGGCGGUCGUUCAAGUCGCGUGUGAAAGCCCCCCGGCUCAACUGGGGAGGGUCACGCGAUACUGAUCGACUCGAAGGCAGGAGAGGGAAGUGGAAUUCCCGGUGUAGUGGUGAAAUGCGUGAGAUAUCGGGAGGAACACCAGUGGCGAAGGCGACUUCCUGGCCUGUUCUUGACGCUGAGGCGCGAAAGCUAGGGGAGCAAACGGGG